GACGAACGCUGGCGGCGUGCUUAACACAUGCAAGUCGAACGGAAAGGCCAUGCUUUUGUGGGGUGCUCGAGUGGCGAACGGGUGUGUAACACGUGAGUAACCUGCCCUUGACUUUGGGAUAACUUCAGGAAACUGGGGCUAAUACAGGAUAGGAGCUACUGCUGCAUGGGGGGGGUUGGAAAGUUUCGGCGGUUGGGGAUGGACUCGCGGCUUAUCAGCUUGUUGGUGGGGUAGUGGCUUACCAAGGCUUUGACGGGUAGCCGGCCUGAGAGGGUGACCGGCCACAUUGGGACUGAGAUACGGCCCAGACUCCUACGGGAGGCAGCAGUGGGGAAUAUUGCACAAUGGGCGGAAGCCUGAUGCAGCAACGCCGCGUGCGGGAUGACGGCCUUCGGGUUGUAAACCGCUUUCGCCUGUGACGAAGCGUGAGUGACGGUAAUGGGUAAAGAAGCACCGGCUAACUACGUG
rnacentral:rRNA from 1 species